rnacentral:rRNA from 1 species
GUACACAAAAAUGCACAUGCUGUGAGCUCGAUGAGUAGGGCGGGACACGUGGUAUCCUGUCUGAAUAUGGGGGGACCAUCCUCCAAGGCUAAAUACUCCUGACUGACCGAUAGUGAACCAGUACCGUGAGGGAAAGGCGAAAAGAACCCCGGCGAGGGGAGUGAAAAAGAACCUGAAACCGUGUACGUACAAGCAGUGGGAGCACGCUUAGGCGUGUGACUGCGUACCUUUUGUAUAAUGGGUCAGCGACUUAUAUUCUGUAGCAAGGUUAACCGAAUAGGGGAGCCGAAGGGAAACCGAGUCUUAACUGGGCGUUAAGUUGCAGGGUAUAGACCCGAAACCCGGUGAUCUAGCCAUGGGCAGGUUGAAGGUUGGGUAACACUAACUGGAGGACCGAACCGACUAAUGUUGAAAAAUUAGCGGAUGACUUGUGGCUGGGGGUGAAAGGCCAAUCAAACCGGGAGAUAGCUGGUUCUCCCCGAAAGCUAUUUAGGUAGCGCCUCGUGAAUUCAUCUCCGGGGGUAGAGCACUGUUUCGGCAAGGGGGUCAUCCCGACUUACCAACCCGAUGCAAACUGCGAAUACCGGAGAAUGUUAUCACGGGAGACACACGGCGGGUGCUAACGUCCGUCGUGAAGAGGGAAACAACCCAGACCGCCAGCUAAGGUCCCAAAGUCAUGGUUAAGUGGGAAACGAUGUGGGAAGGCCCAGACAGCCAGGAUGUUGGCUUAGAAGCAGCCAUCAUUUAAAGAAAGCGUAAUAGCUCACUGGUCGAGUCGGCCUGCGCGGAAGAUGUAACGGGGCUAAACCAUGCACCGAAGCUGCGGCAGCGACGCUGAUGCGUUGUUGGGUAGGGGAGCGUUCUGUAAGCCUGCGAAGGUGUGCUGUGAGGCAUGCUGGAGGUAUCAGAAGUGCGAAUGCUGACAUAAGUAACGAUAAAGCGGGUGAAAAGCCCGCUCGCCGGAAGACCAAGGGUUCCUGUCCAACGUUAAUCGGGGCAGGGUGAGUCGACCCCUAAGGCGAGGCCGAAAGGCGUAGUCGAUGGGAAACAGGUUAAUAUUCCUGUACUUGGUGUUACUGCGAAGGGGGGACGGAGAAGGCUAUGUUGGCCGGGCGACGGUUGUCCCGGUUUAAGCGUGUAGGCUGGU